AUCGAACGCUGGCGGCAGGCCUAACACAUGCAAGUCGAACGAGUGGCGGACGGGUGAGGAAUGUCGGGGAAACUGCCUGACGGAGGGGGCUAACUACUGGAAACGGUAGCUAAUACCGCAUACCAUCAGAUGUGCCCAGAUGGGAUUAGAUUGGUGGUGGGGUAACGGCUCACCAAGGCGACGAUCCCUAGCUGGUCUGAGAGGAUGACCAGCCACACUGGAACGGAGACACGGUCCAGACUCCUACGGGAGGCAGCAGUGGGGAAUAUUACACAAUGGGCGCAAGCCUGAUGCAGCCAUGCCGCGUGUGUGAAGAAGGCCUUCGGGUUGUAAAGUCCUUUCAGCGGGGAGGCGUUACCCACAGAAGAAGCACCGGCUAACUCCGUGCCAGCCGCCGCGGUAAUUC
rnacentral:rRNA from 1 species